rnacentral:lncRNA from 1 species
UGUCUUCUCCAUAUGAAUUUAUGCUGCAACCACUCUGUCCAAGUGACAAGAUUAAGUGACAAGACAUUUGCUCGACAGUGCUUCUCAGAGUGCAGACAAUGACUUGAUUAAGGAGUGCGUUAUGUAUGCUUUGGAUGUGACUGUGCCCCCAGGCCCGGGCAUCUGAACACCCGUUCCCAGCUGGUGGUCCUGUGGGGGGAGAUACGGAGCCUUCAGGAGACGAAGCUUCUCUGGAGGAAGUGGGUUGCUUUUGGGGCGGACCUCGAGGUUUGUGACCUGACCCCACUUCCUGCCUGCUGGUGUGUGGAGAGGUGAAGACUCUCAGCCGUACCCUCUGCUCCCCCAGCAGUGAAUUCCUCGCCUUUCCCUCUGUACCCUUUCAAACCAUGAGCCCCAAAGAGCCAUUCCUCCUUUUAAGUAGCCUGUUUGCCAGAGUGAUAAGAACUGGUCCAGAAGACAUUCAGGAACAGCUAAAGCAUUUUAAAGAGAAUACAGGCUGCAGGAGGCUCUGUACAACUAAGAAUCAGAUUCCGGACACGCUCUGUGUUGGCUCUCACUCUACAGACACAACGAGUGUAUUGUUAGCAGCCCUGCAGCUGCUUUGUCAGGUACCUGGGCUGGGACAGAACAGUGGGCUUGAAGGCACUGACUCCGCAAUCAAAGUGAGGGAAGAGGUCCCGAGGUCUGAGGAACACCCAAGGGACAAGAGAGAGGAUGGACAUCUCUUUGGCAGCUUGGUGUCUACUCUGCACACUGAAACCAUCCCAGGUCUGACUCAACAAAGUACCAGCACGGAGUCAUCCGACCACUUCCUGGGUUUUCCCCCUCAAAGCUUUCACACCCAGCGUUGGCCUGCACUCCACCCUGCCAGAGGAUGAGCUCAGCAGGCUGCGCAGGCGCGAAGGCCUGACAGACUGCUAUGUAAUGGUCCCCGGGGGCACCGGGCUUCCAUCCCUGGAGGCAGGAGAUGGAAGAGGGUUUGAACAACAGCAAUUAGCUGGGGAUUUUCUCCGUGUCUUGGUGAGAAACAUCUGACCUCGAAACAAGUCUUUCUUUGGUGAAGAAGGGCGGUGUGUGCCUUACAGGAAACUCAAACAUGACUUCAGAACAUUACACACUGGAUUAGGCAGAAGGGCACAUGUGUGGCACCAGGGGGUGGGGUGGGGGGAGCUCGCCUCUGAUUUUUAGAGCAGAAAUACAACCGGAGCUUGAGUGAGGUUGUCAGCGGGGAAGCUUAGGCAUGCUCCAGUCUGAGGGUCUUAGGCACUCACCGUUGGCAGAUCACCGCGCCAGCCCUUCCUCCCCACCCCUUAUUUCCUUCUUCUGCCAGCUUGCGCUCUCUGUUCUUCCCUAUUUAAAUAUUUCUUCCUACUCAGAGCCCUGUAAGCACUUCAUCACCAAAGUCUUUGAUCUAGGAACAAUAGCAGCCGUUUGAACAGCAGAAGAGAAACACUUGUUACAUAAUUUUACUUUCUCUCCAGACUUUGAACAUAUAUCACCAAGUCAGGAAAACCUAGAGUGAAAGUUUCCAGGGCCGACCACACUCCAACCACACCCCGCCCAAGGCCCGACCACACCCUGAUCAAGGCCCACCACGACUGACCACGCCCCAAACACGCCCCAACCUCCCCUGGCCUGCCUGCCUUUACAUAGUGUUUUUAUUUCUCACUCAGUUUGGUCACACUUUUCUGAGGCUAAUUAUGCACCGGCCUUGCAAUCUUUACAAGAUUUGCACAUGACAAAUUCUGAUUUGCUUGUUACGCAGGGAAGGCAAUCUUCAAGAUGAAGCUUCAUAAAUAACCAAAAGGAAGACUUUUACACUCAACAGUAAAGCUAAUUUAUACUCACGAAAAUUUUUUUUCUCCCACCAUGCAUUAUACAGUGUCAGGCAUAAUAUUUUAAUCCCUACACUUUAGCA